rnacentral:lncRNA from 1 species
AUCUUGUUGAUCAAACCCUAGAUCAUCAAUCAGGAGGUGAUCAAGAAGAUGGGUUGUGUCAGAAGCUUGAUGAGAUGGGUGUGCAAGAUAAAGAUGGUUUGAUUGGUGAAAAAAAGAUUGAUGGGGUUGGUGAAAAGGAUGAUUUUGAGGGUGAAAAGAAGGAUUUUGAGGGUGAAAAGAGGGAUGAAGGCUUUGAAAAGAAGGAUUUUGAUGGUGAAAAGAGUGAUGAGGGCUUGGUAAAGAAUGAGUUUGAGGGGGAAAAGAGUGAUGAGGGCUUGGAAAAGAACGAGUUUGAGGGUGAAAAGAGUGAUGAGGGCUUGGAAAAGAACGAGUUUGAGGGUGAAAAGAGUGAUGAGGGCUUGGAAAAGAAUGAGUUUGAGGGUGAAAAGAGUGAUGAGGGCUUGGAAAAGAAUGAGUUUGAGGGUGAUGUGAAAGAGGGGGGAGCUGAAGGUGAGGUAGAUGAUACGAAAGGCGAUGCGAAUGGGGAUGAAAGUGAG